rnacentral:rRNA from 1 species
UUGGUGAGGUAGAGGCUCACCAAGGCGACGAUGCAUAGCCGACCUGAGAGGGUGAUCGGCCACAUUGGGACUGAGACACGGCCCAAACUCCUACGGGAGGCAGCAGUAGGGAAUCUUCGGCAAUGGACGAAAGUCUGACCGAGCAACGCCGCGUGAGUGAAGAAGGUUUUCGGAUCGUAAAACUCUGUUGUUAGAGAAGAACAAGGAUGAGAGUAACUGUUCAUCCCUUGACGGUAUCUAACCAGAAAGCCACGGCUAACUACGUGCCAGCAGCCGCGGUAAUACGUAGGUGGCAAGCGUUGUCCGGAUUUAUUGGGCGUAAAGCGAGCGCAGGCGGUUUCUUAAGUCUGAUGUGAAAGCCCCCGGCUCAACCGGGGAGGGUCAUUGGAAACUGGGAGACUUGAGUGCAGAAGAGGAGAGUGGAAUUCCAUGUGUAGCGGUGAAAUGCGUAGAUAUAUGGAGGAACACCAGUGGCGAAGGCGGCUCUCUGGUCUGUAACUGACGCUGAGGCUCGAAAGCGUGGGGAGCAAACAGGAUUAGAUACCCUGGUAGUCCACGCCGUAAACGAUGAGUGCUAAGUGUUGGAGGGUUUCCGCCCUUCAGUGCUGCAGCUAACGCAUUAAGCACUCCGCCUGGGGAGUACGACCGCAAGGUUGAAACUCAAAGGAAUUGACGGGGGCCCGCACAAGCGGUGGAGCAUGUGGUUUAAUUCGAAGCAACGCGAAGAACCUUACCAGGUCUUGACAUCCUUUGACCACUCUAGAGAUAGAGCUUCCCCUUCGGGGGCAAAGUGACAGGUGGUGCAUGGUUGUCGUCAGCUCGUGUCGUGAGAUGUUGGGUUAAGUCCCGCAACGAGCGCAACCCUUAUUGUUAGUUGCCAUCAUUUAGUUGGGCACUCUAGCAAGACUGCCGGUGACAAACCGGAGGAAGGUGGGGAUGACGUCAAAUCAUCAUGCCCCUUAUGACCUGGGCUACACACGUGCUACAAUGGGAAGUACAACGAGUCGCAAAGUCGCGAGGCUAAGCUAAUCUCUUAAAGCUUCUCUCAGUUCGGAUUGUAGGCUGCAACUCGCCUACAUGAAGCCGGAAUCGCUAGUAAUCGCGGAUCAGCACGCCGCGGUGAAUACGUUCCCGGGCCUUGCACACACCGCCCGUCAA